CCUACGGGAGGCAGCAGUGAGGAAUAUUGGUCAAUGGCCGGAAGGCUGAACCAGCAAAGCCGCGUGAAGGACGAAGGUGCCAAGAAUUGUAAACUUCUUUUGUCAAGGGACAAAAUCAGGCUCGAGAGCCUGACCGAGGGUACUGGAAGAAAAAGCAUCGGCUACCUCCGUGCCAGCAGCCGCGGUAAUACGGAGGAUGCGAGCGUUCUCCGGAUUUAUUGGGUUUAAAGGGUGCGCAGGGGGCGUGUCAAGUCAGCGGGAAAAGGUCGGGGUUAAACCCCGGCCGGCGGUUGAAACGGGCGGGCUCGAGUUGGGGAGAAGAAUGCGGAAUUCGUGGUGUAGCGGUGAAAUGCGUAGAUAUCACGAAGAACCCCGGUUGCGAAGGCAGCAUACCGGCUCCACACUGACGCUGAGGCACGAAAGCGUGGGUAUCGAACAGGAUUAGAUACCCCAGUAGUC
rnacentral:rRNA from 1 species